rnacentral:lncRNA from 1 species
ACACAUGAGUCUUCACAAGGCUGCACAAGAUCACAGUCUUGUCAGGAGGAGAAACUGAGGCUCUGGUUUAGGAGCUGCCCUCGAAUCACCAUGGAGCAGGACCGAGCGUGGGCUGCCCGCCCCUCCGCCCAGCCACCCGGCUUCUAAAUCUGGGUCUUUUCCCGCGUCUGAUCCAGAGAGGAGGGAAGGAUGUACCAAGACAGGGUCUUUGGACAGACAGCCGUUUCAAUAGCUCCUCCUUAGAGCUGGGGUGGGAAUGCCUCUCCCCCCACAUGCCUUCAGCCUAUUGGUGAGCGGGGAGCUGGAGCAAGUGUGAGGAUGUAGCAGGUUUAGAAGGAAAUAGCUUAAUCCUUGCGUGGGAUGGAGGAGGCAGGAAGGAGGGAGAUGUGAACCUGAGACCCGGGGCGUGUGACUGCGCCGUGGAAGCCUAAGGGUGUGAUGACCCUGCUGCCUGCCUCUCUCAGGGGGAUCGCCUUUGCUAACUGUGGGGGGCAGGGCGUAGUGCCCUAAUGGGGGACAGGGCCUCCCGGUGGGGGCUGACCCCUCUGAUUUUGUCCCCCCACUCGGAAGCCACCACCCUUGUCGUUUGCCCUCUGAGAGUCCUCCUCCCUCGGGCCGCCCCCUGCCCUCUGUCCCUGGGGCCGUGACAUUGACAGGGUGCCCAGCGGGGCGAAGACGGCAGCUGCAGGUCCUGGUCCCCAGUACGUGUGUGAGUGUGAAUGCGAGUGGGUUGGGAUGGGGGAGCGGCGGGGCUGGGAUCAUCCGCAGAUCAGAGCUCGGGAGUAGAGAGUUUCUAGCGGGUGGGGCCGCCCUACACGCUGGAGCCCGAGGACCUGCCCCUGGGACCACCACCAGCCUCAACACCCCUGGAGGCCAGAGCACGUCGGACAGGCACUGACCAGAGGAGCCUGGGAGGAGCUGCGGGGGUGAGUGAAACUUGGGACGGACUGGGUGUGCCUGGGCUGGGCGAGAUGGGGAGAAGCCAGGGAUGGAAAAGAGCUGCAGGUGGAGCAAGAAGAGGAGGGAAACGGGAGAGCAUCCUGCCUCAGCCCUUGUUGCUGCACAGUAGCCACGCCCCUUUCCCGGGCCCUGCCACCAGGGGGCGCUGCGGGGGGGGGAGCUGCCAAGCGGAGCCGCAAAGGGGUGAGAUGGAGGCAGAGUUACGGCCUUGUGGGCCCCAAAGGGGACGGUGGAUGGUCGCCCCGUGUCCAGCGGCAGGACAGUGGGGCCCCCAGCCCAGGGUCCGGGUUUCUAGACCCUCCGCUCCUGCUGUGGGGGAGGGAGGAGCAGGCAGAGGGAGCUGAUCUGCCCAAGACCGCAGUGUGGCCUUUACCCCUGGGUGCCCACCAUGGCCCAGGCCCUGGAGAAGCUCUGGAGUAAAUACCUGUGGGCCUUAGAAAAGGGAGGUAGGAGGUGGUGUCACCUGAUAGUGGCUUUCCUUUGUCUAUUCCACCAGACAGAUGCCCGUCGUUUGGAGCAAGAGGAGAUGGUGAUCAGCAGAGCCCCGGGAGCUGCCAGGGAGGGCCGGGUGGCAGGUGGGCCUGGUGGCCAGCUCCACUGCCCCCUUUCUUCUUGCUUUGCCAGACCCGAGGACCCAUUCCUGGUUCCUGGUACACUCGCUGCUGCCUGUCACCCUCCUCUGGGCCUUCGACCUCCUCCUGGUGGUGGAGGGCCCCCGUCUCAUGUCCCAUGAGGAGCCUUUGAGGCUGGCAGGACCCCUGGCUGCCUACAACCUGGGCCUGAUGGUUCUCUCGGGGCACGUGUUCUAUGAGUUCAUGGCCACCUCGCUCCUGGCCAGCUACAGCUGCUUCUGCCAGCCGGUGAACUACAGCUGGAGUGAGCUGGGGUUAAGGAUGGCGAGCGUGUGCUGAUGGUGCUUCUCAAAGGCCAUUGAAAUACUGGUCGCAGGGAGUAAUUCACAGUGGGUGGUCAUCUUCCUAUCACGAAAGGAGUCAGAGCAGAUGAUCUUCCUGCACAUCUACCACCACAGCACCAUGCUCUUCAGAUAGUGGGCUGGGGUCAAAUAUGUGCCAGGGGUCAAGGGUCAGUGUGUGACCAUUGCUGCCUACUCCUCCUGCAGUCUCUUUGCCAAAGAGUGUCCGUUCCCUGGCAGGCUCAAUGUGACCAUUCUCCUGUUCACCCUCAGUCUCAUCAGCCUUUCCCUUAACUUCUACCACCAGACAUACCUGAGAGGCAAGUGGGAGAAGCUGACCUACAAGGUGGGGCUGAGGACUGAAACUAGCAGAGCCCUCCCCAUGGAGAGUUUGGCGAAAGAUGAUACGGCCCACAGCCCACCCGUGCUGAGCAGAUUCCUCUGGGCAAGUAUUUCAUCCUAUGAGGAAAGGACAAUAACAAUUCUCGCCGCCUUCCCAGAGUUCAGGAGGACAGAACUGGACCCAGCUUCCUGAACGCACAUCUCAUGUGGAUUCGUCACUAUUUGCACACCUCCUUCCUCUACUAAACGUGAGUCCUUCUGAGGAGGGACUGCACUCUCAGUGGUCCCCACCCCUGGCACAGUAUCUCAAUAAAUGUGCAUUUAGACCCCUAUAUUCCCCCAUGGACAGUCAGGGCUGGGAGCAGGGUUGGGAGCAUGGAGGAAGGCAAGGCUGGUUUGAUCUUCCCCUUGCAGGCAGAGAGGAUGGCUGAGAAUAUCUAAUCUAAGGAGUGUGGGUCUGUGUGAUUUCUCUUGGGGCUAUGCCAACAGUUCCCCUGCACAUCUUUCUGUCUGUUCACUAUUACCUAAGGUGCAUUUACACAGUUGUAUGAUUCUGUGUGUAUGGGGCAGCAGAAAGGGCUACUCAUACAUGUCCAAAUACUUGCUUUUGAAUACACGUGUGUUUCCAUUUAUGAUUUUCUCUGUUGGUGUUUUUUGUUUGUCUCUUCUGUAAAUCUUGGAAAGUGCCAUGCUAGCCAAAUAAAAGCUGCUGGG